rnacentral:rRNA from 1 species
CGGGGUGAGUAAUGUAUGGGGAUCUGCCUGAUGGCGGGGGAUAACUACUGGAAACGGUAGCUAAUACCGCAUAAUGUCUGCGGACCAAAGAGGGGGACCUUCGGGCCUCUUGCCAUCGGAUGUGCCCAGAUGGGAUUAGCUAGUAGGUGGGGUAACGGCUCACCUAGGCGACGAUCCCUAGCUGGUCUGAGAGGAUGACCAGCCACACUGGAACUGAGACACGGUCCAG